GGUUGGAUAGUCCUCGACUUACGACCGGUUGGGGUUGCAGCAUUAAAAAGAUUGAGAACCACUGACCUAGAGUUUAUGGGACUUAUUUGUUUUUAUUGAUUACAAAUCACUGGAGCUUGGCAAUAUGGUAAUAAAUAAAUAAAAGGGCUGUAGAGUUGUGAUGAGUAUGAGGAUCCCAGCUGGCUGCAUCACAGAAUGGAGAAAGUGCCACUUUGGACAGGAUAUAAGAAGAGUAACACAGAGAGAAAUUGCAUCUUUGCUCCAUUUUCAGGCUGCAUAAAUCAUGAAGUUUGAUCAAAUCAAAAGCAUAUCUACAGUGUCUAACUAUUCAUCUAUCUUGAAUUCCCGUUUCUCCUGCUUGUUGGCUACAGCACCUAGGAAGGAAGUCUUUCCAAGACUGCUAAUUUUCUCUCUCUCUCUCUCUCUCUCUCUCUCUCUCUCUCUCUGUGUGUGUGUGUGUGUGUGUGUGAGAGAGAGAGAGAGAGAGAGAGAGAGAGAGAGAGAGAGAGAGAGAGAGAGAGAGAGAGAGAGAGAGCAUGUUUGAUGAGUAUUAUUUUAUUAUUCUCCUUCAUUGGGAGUAUUAUUAACAUUUCCUGCAACCAGUGCCUUUAUCUAAGGUAGGGACCCCUGGGGAUUCAAACUGGUCAGGCAGUAGGGAACAAUCAGCAGCUUACAGGAAAAAAAAUCAGCUGAGGACAGAGUUCGUCAGUCUGUGUUAGCUUGUGCCUUACCCCAUUCUCAGCCAGGAAAGCUGAAGUGGUCAUACACUUGCAGUCCUACCUUAUAUAUUUUAUUUAUUUACAUACAAAUGAAGUCACUGCAGUAAUUGAAGAUUAUGAGUAAUCAUGGCCCACUGUGGUUUGUUAGAUGACUUUUCACUUCCUAGUCCAGGGAUGAGAGACUAGCCCAAACACAAUCAGUCUUCAUGUCUAGGGGAGGACUGGAACCUGAAUCUUCUUGCUCCUAUUCCAGUCCCUUAAUCAUUAUAGAACAAUGAUUCUUACCUAUACAUACGAGUACAUACCUCUAAAAAAACAAUCUGUGUUUCAGAUUGUUCAGCUUAUUGUCUUCCGAAAACUUUGUAUAUCCAAACAGAAAUUUAAUUCUGUUAUACUACAAGUAACACAUCUAUUACAAACUGCACUUACUACAAUAAGUUCUUUAGAGAUCCAGUUGGUCUAGUUAGUAGUUAAGGCACCAGGCUAGAAAUUGGGAGACUGACCCACUUUAGCCAUGAAAGCCAGUUGGGUGACCUUGGGCCAGUCACUCUCUCUCAGCCCAACUCUCCUCACAUGGUGGUUAUUUUGGGGAAAUGGGAAGGUGUGUUGGAUAGGUUCACUGCCUUGAGUUAUUUGUAAUAAUAAAGGUGGGAUACAAAUAAAUAAUAAAAGCACUCUGAUUUCAUAUUUUUCCUUUCAUGUUAGCUCCCACUACCACAGAGCCACUGAAGAGACCAGUUCUGUUAUGACCUACUCCAAUGGUUGUCCAAGACUGGAGAAUUGAUAAUGAGGAAAAGAAGGAUACUAACGGUGUUGCGGUAUAAUGUCACACGGGCCACAUGACUGACUCUUUGGCUUAAGAAAUGGAGAUGAGCACUGCUCACUAGAGUUGCUCACAAUUAGCAAGAAGCAGCCCAUAUGGUUUCCUCCAUCACAAGAAGACCUCUGACAGGAAGAACUCCCAAUUUCACUAUUUUCUGUGGUUCUGAAUUCCAGGUCCCAUCUUUUGCAACAAGAAAU